CAUCCCUCUGCUCUGAACUUGUGCCAAAACCUUCUUCACCUGUGAAGCCACCUCUGCCCGGUGCUCUACCUGAAUCUGAAGUCCCCCAGAUGCCACAAAAGACAAUCCUAUAUCCAAGGCCAACCACCCAAUGCUGUCUUGCUAGGUCUACUGCUGCACCUUGAUCACCAUCGCUGUCCUUUCGGAUCCUCCACACUUCGUGGAUCCUUCUGAAGUCAUUUUGGAUCCUCCACACCCUGCGGGUUUCUCUGAAACCAACAAGAGCUCAUCCGACUUUUUUGAUUUAGUGAUUGAACCUAUGGAAUCUGAGCCUUUACUUUCUCCUCCCUUCUUCUUAAGUAGACACUGCUGCUUAAAAUGCCCUAUUAC
rnacentral:lncRNA from 1 species